UCCUCGCAGAGAAUGUGAACAUGUGUGUGA
rnacentral:piRNA from 1 species